GACGAACGCUGGCGGCGUGCUUAACACAUGCCAGUCGAACGGAAAGGCCCUGCUUUUGUGGGGUGCUCGAGUGGCGAACGGGUGAGUAACACGUGAGUAACCUGCCCUUGACUUUGGGAUAACUUCAGGAAACUGGGGCUAAUACCGGAUAGGAGCUCCUGCUGCAUGGUGGGGGUUGGAAAGUUUCGGCGGUUGGGGAUGGACUCGCGGCUUAUCAGCUUGGUGGGGGGGUAGUGGCUUACAAAGGGUUUGAAGGGUAGCCGGCCUGAGAGGGUGACCGGCCACAUUGGGACUGAGAGACGGCCCAGAAUCCUACGGGAGGCAGCAGUGGGGAAUAUUGCACAGUGGGCGGAAGCCUGAGGCAGCAACGCCGGGUGCGGGAUGCCGGCCUUCGGGUUGUAAACCGCUUUCGCCUGUGACGAAGCGUGAGUGACGGUAAUGGGUAAAGAAGCACCGGCUAACUACGUG
rnacentral:rRNA from 1 species